UUACAAGUGACCCCGGUCUAACCACCGGGAUGUUCAUAACCCUUUGUUGUCCGACUCUGUUGCCUCCGGGGCGACCCUGCCUUCGGGCGGGGGCUCCGGGUGGACACUUCAAACUCUUGCGUAACUUUGCAGUCUGAGUAAACUUAAUUAAUAAAUUAAAACUUUUAACAACGGAUCUCUUGGUUCUGGCAUCGAUGAAGAACGCAGCGAAAUGCGAUAAGUAAUGUGAAUUGCAGAAUUCAGUGAAUCAUCGAAUCUUUGAACGCACAUUGCGCCCCCUGGUAUUCCGGGGGGCAUGCCUGUUCGAGCGUCAUUUCACCACUCAAGCCUCGCUUGGUAUUGGGCAACGCGGUCCGCCGCGUGCCUCAAAUCGACCGGCUGGGUCUUCUGUCCCCUAAGCGUUGUGGAAACUAUUCGCUAAAGGGUGUUCGGGAGGCUACGCCGUAAAACAACCCCAUUUCUAAGGUUGACCUCGGAUCAGGUAGGGAUACCCGCUGAACUUAAGCAUAUCAAUAAGCGGAGGAAAAGAAACCAACAGGGAUUGCUCUAGUAACGGCGAGUGAAGCAGCAAUAGCUCAAAUUUGAAAUCUGGCGUCUUCGACGUCCGAGUUGUAAUUUGUAGAGGAUGCUUCUGAGUAACCACCGACCUAAGUUCCUUGGAACAGGACGUCAUAGAGGGUGAGAAUCCCGUAUGCGGUCGGAAAGGUGCUCUAUACGUAGCUCCUUCGACGAGUCGAGUUGUUUGGGAUGCAGCUCU
rnacentral:rRNA from 1 species